rnacentral:rRNA from 1 species
AUUGAACGCUGGCGGCAGGCCUAACACAUGCAAGUCGAGCGGAUGAAGGGAGCUUGCUCCUGGAUUCAGCGGCGGACGGGUGAGUAAUGCCUAGGAAUCUGCCUGGUAGUGGGGGAUAACGUCCGGAAACGGGCGCUAAUACCGCAUACGUCCUGAGGGAGAAAGUGGGGGAUCUUCGGACCUCACGCUAUCAGCUGAGCCUAGGUCGGAUUAGCUAGUUGGUGGGGUAAAGGCCUACCAAGGCGACGAUCCGUAACUGGUCUGAGAGGAUGAUCAGUCAAACUGGAACUGAGACACGGCCCAGACUCCUACGGGAGGCAGCAGUGGGGAAUAUCUGACAAUGGGCGAAAGCCUGAUCCAGCCAUGCCGGGUGUGUGAAGAAGUUCUUCGGAUUGUAAAGCACUUUAAGUUGGGAGAAAGGGUAGGAAGUUAAUACCUUGCUGUUUGGACGUGACCAACAGAAUAAGCACCGGCUAACUUCUG